UGAAAAACAAAAUACUAUAACACAAUUCCCGAAGUUGGAUAUCAGCUAGAGUUAGCAAAUUAAACUAUUAUUUAAAUCAAACAGAACCAGCUCUACCCAUUUCGGAUGGUACACACGGCAUCAUCACUGAUAUUCCGCUGCUCUCAUUUUCGAACCGAUCCCUAUUUGACCGCUCAACAGCGAUGAGUGUAAGCGGAUUACAACCUUUUGGCGAACCUUUUUACAAGUGCAACGGAAUCGGCAGAGUAUUUUAGCAAGGCAACCUAUCCUAAAUUCAUGAAUCAAUCAGCAGCAAUAUAUUGCAGGAGGCGUUCGUGUGCAACGCAUAGCAAUGUCCAUAGACAGUAUCUGCUAUAGCCACUCAAUCGGACAGUGCCGCUUUGAAAACAACACUACGCGCACCACUUCCAUGCUAAAACGAUUCACUUGGGAUUGUGUCGGCUGCCCGAGUCGACUUCCCCGAUGAUUAAAAUGAAUAUGGAGAAUACUGCACGAACCCGGCCGUUCAUUCCUUAUGCUAUCCGAUCAAAGCAGAUACAGAUCCAUGAUGAACUGAUUUGCUGAACCAAUUUGAUUAUCUGCACCCCCGCGAAUGUGUCCGCUUACGCUUCUGCUGGACAACCUUUGCUCAACACCGAGCCCAUAGAGAAUAAAACAACAAUAAUAUAAAUAGUGAUAAAGAAAUUAAGCAGCGUAAUGCGCGGACAGCCGAUUUGCGAUAUACCCGUACCCGAACGUCGAGUGUAAACAGAAGGAUAUUCUCAUCUAGGGUGAGAAGGCGUAUAUGCGAAGCAUCUCAAGUAACCAUGCGGCUGAAGCACGUUGGACAGCAUAUUAAAGACUUCAAAAUCCGACAAGCAAUCGAUCAUCGCAUAAGAGCAUCGAGUAUGCAUGCAUACCUCCGCAUGUGAUAAAGAAGCAGCUUGACAUGCUGACAAACGAAUUGUAUUCGGUACAUCCGACAACCGCUGCCGGACAGAGCGGUCACAUAUCAACGGAGAUCGAGUUGCAGCCAGCGAAAUCUGCGUACUUCGACAUUGUAGUUCUUGGAAGCGUGAAAACAGAGAACGCAUGUCCUGCUGCUGUUCAGCGUAACUAUAAUGCACUGUAAGAUUUGUUUUUUAUUUUUCAUACUUUUCGCGCAUUUUCGGUGCGGAUUGAGUUUCAGGUUGCUUUUUCAGACAAUUUAUACUGCAGCGAUCCCUCUGGAUUAUUUUUUAAUAAAAUAAUGUUUAUCAUUACAUUUAAAUAAACUAGCGGUAAUAUCUAUCGGGACUGACAAUUGACCACUGUUUCAAUUACGUAGAAUACUAUGGAAUAGAUUGAAUGUAUCUGAGGGCAAGAAACUAAAUUAUAAGAGACCUUUUUAAACGAUUUUGUUAUUCCUCCAGACUGUCGGUGAGAAUAAUGACCCAUUGUUACCCACGAUGACGGCACUGCAAUUUUUCAUAACAGUUCUUUGUGGAGUUUUUUUAAUAUCCAGUUUUCCGCGAGCGGUAGUGCCCGCCAGCUUGCAUGAGGGUCAGUGUCUGAUUUGACAUUUGUGGAGGUUAACUGCACCCACCGUUCCGAGCAUUUUGAUCAAUGUAUAUAAGAAGGUAUAUAAGUAUAUAAGAAGGCUUGGAAUCCGCUUCACCAGUACCAGCGGUCAUAACCGCUCGCGGAAAACUAGAUAUAGUACAAACACAAAGAUGCAUUUAGGUGUCGUUAUCACUUGAUACUCUUUAUCGAUUUGAAAUGUCAUAUAUUUGUUCCAGCUCAGAUCCAUGAACUUUGAC